UCGGGGUGUAGGAACGUCGUGCCGGGCUCCUGGCGGCUUCUGUCCGCUCUGCGGCGGGAGGCGCCUUCCCCACAGGACAUCAAUGCAAGCCUAAAUAAGAAUAACAAUUUCUUCCUCCUAAAGCCAUGGCAUAUCAGUUAUACAGAAAUACCACUUUGGGAAACAGUCUUCAGGAGAGCCUAGAUGAGCUCAUACAGUCUCAACAGAUCACCCCCCAACUUGCCCUUCAAGUUCUACUUCAGUUUGAUAAGGCUAUAAAUUCAGCACUGGCUCUCAGAGGGUCAGGAACAGAGUCAAUUUCAGGGGCUCUCUAAAUACAUACAGAUUCUGCAAUAACGUGUGGACUUUCGUAUUGAAUGAUGUUGAAUUCAGAGAGGUGACAGAACUUAUUAAAGUGGAUAAGGUGAAAAUUGUAGCCUGUGAUGGUAAAAAUACUGGCUCCAAUACUAAAGAAUGA